rnacentral:rRNA from 1 species
CCUACGGGAGGCAGCAGUGAGGAAUAUUGGUCAAUGGACGUAAGCCUGAACCAGCCAUGCCGCGUGAAGGAAGACGGCUCUAUGAGUUGUAAACUGCUUUUGUACGGGGGUAAACGCAGCUACGUGUAUCUGUCUGAAAGUAUCUUACGAAUAAGGAUCGGCUAACUCCGUGCCAGCAGCCGCGGUAAUACGGAGGAUUCAAGCGUUAUCCGGAUUUAUUGGGUUUAAAGGGUGCGUAGGCGGUCUGAUAAGUUAGAGGUGAAAGUCCGAGGCUUAACCUCAGAAUUGCCUUUGAUACUGGUGGGCUAGAGAAUAGUUGCGGUAGGCGGAAUGCAUGGUGUAGCGGUGAAAUGCUUAGAGAUCACACAGAACACCGAUUGCGAAGGCAGCUUACCAAGCUACUACUGACGCUGAGGCACGAAAGCGUGGGGAUCAAACAGGAUUAGAUACCCUGGUAGUC